rnacentral:rRNA from 1 species
GACGAACGCUGGCGGCGUGCUUAACACAUGCAAGUCGAACGGAAAGGCCCUGCUUUUGUGGGGUGCUCGAGUGGCGAACGGGUGAGUAACACGUGAGUCACCUGCCCUUGACUUUGGUAUAACUUCAUGAAACUGGGGCUAAUACCGGAUAGGAGCUCCUGCUGCAUGGUUGGGGUUGGAAAGUUUCGGCGGUUGGGGAUGGACUCGCGGCUUAUCAGCUUGUUGUUGGGGUAGUGGCUUACCAAGGCUUUGACGGGUAGCCGGCCUGAGAGGGUGACCGGCCAAAUUGGGAAUGAGAUACGGCCCAGACUACUAAGGGAGGCAGCAGUGGGGAAUAUUGCACAAUGGGCGGAAGCCUGAUGCAGCAACGCCGCGUGCGGGAUGACGGCCUUCGGGUUGUAAACCGCUUUCGCCUGUGACGAAGCGUGAGUGACGGUAAUGGGUAAAGAAGCACCGGCUAACUACGUG